GUGCAGAGUUUCGUUUCCUGCCGUCAUGGUUCCGAGGUCAGGAUGUGCCUCAUGCCCACGAAGGAGAGGAGAGUUGGCUGAAUCCCAGCUCAUGAGCUGCCCUUGGGGGAGCUGCCAGGCUGUGAUGUGGCCUUGACCAAGGCAUGUAGAAAGGGCAAAAAGAAAGAAGAACCAGAGCAAGCUGCCAGAGCACAACUGUUUGGAUGGCACCAUCCUGCUGAAGGCCUCUAG